rnacentral:tRNA from 1 species
GCGGGAAUAGUUCAGUGGAAGAGCGAAACCUUGCCAAGGUUGAAGUCACGAGUUCGAAUCUCGGUUCCCGCACCA